AUAUUUGCCUCCAUGAGACAUUUUUAUGACUUUAUUUUGAAGGAUAAUACUGAGUUUCCGGUGUUAUUGAUGUCAUUAUGCAACCUUGUUAGAAAAAGCUAUUAGUCUUGCUUCACGGUUCAGAUGCAGUUGCUAGGAAACCCCCUAUCAUUGGCUCCAGUGCCAGUUGCUUGUUCAGCCCACACAGCAGCACUGCACGACCAGGAGGAAGUCCCAGCAUCAGACACCAUCAAAACAGUUUGUUUAUGUUAUAAAUCUGUUUCAGACAAGAACAACUUCUCUGUGAUUAUCUUCAACUACCUUCAAGGGCAUCUCGGUGUUUAGCUACUCAUUAUGCAAAGAAGCCGUUGGCUAUUUGUUCUUAAUUCUCCAUAUGCAUUUUAAAAAGUAGGCUACUAAUAUAUAAUCUAUUCCUGGCAUUUUGAGUUUGGAUCUUUGUUUUCCAUUAAAGAUAAACUGAUGAGAGACACGGCACAGUUUACCUCCUGACCUGCAGUAUGUUUAACAUGCAGAGAGUAAAGAUCGUCUUCUCCAGGGCGUGAACUGCAGUUUCCCCAAACCAGUGAGCACAGGCGAGCUGUCUGCAUCUUGCCUCCUGGUCAGUCUGGGGAAAAAUCCCAAAUGCAGAUCUCUGCAAACAAAAAAGGAUGGAUCAGAUGGGGACUGGAGCCAUCCAAGGAAUCUGUUUCAGAUUCACCUGCACAAGGCGCACACGUCCUAAACAUCAGGACACUGGGGAAAGUUUCCAAACCGAGGCUUCUCCUGAGGGUUGGUCUGCGUCCUGAUGUGGACUCCUGGCUCUGCUCAGAGACACCAGGUGUGACCUUUGACCUCCCCUGAAUCCAGGGCACCGUCUUCACAGGCCGAAUCACUGCAUGUGUGAGAAAAUAAAGAGCACACAGGAGGUG